rnacentral:lncRNA from 1 species
GACAGGCGUAGGGUCGGGGACAGGCGUAGGGUCGGGGACAGGCGUAGGGUCGGGGACAGGUGUAGGGUCGGAGACUAGUUUGAGUGUGUCUUCAGCUAGGGUAAACUAAAGUGAAUCUCUUAUGUGGGGUAUGGAGUGGCAGGGCAGCUUCCAGGCUUUUUCAGGGCUGGACCGGCAGCUUUUCCUCGUGCAGAUGGAGAGACUAAACACAGCAGGGGUCUCUGAUGCUGCAGUACUGAGGGCCUGGCAGCUGCUGAGACCCACAUGGGGAGGGGGGGCUUGGCCGUAGGCCUGGGAGGAGCCCAUCAUCCACAACCCACUGAUCCCUUUGAGGUCCCGUUUUCUCCCUUUCUCCCUCUCCAUCUCUCUCCUCACUCUCUGCUCUGGAUUGGGAAGGCAGCAUCGAUUGUAUCAUUAGUUUCCUCUGCGGACAGAGACACAACACGGCUCGACUGUUCUUUAUGUGGAGCUUUGUCGAGCAGAGUGUUGAACUAACUAACGCAGAGCAGAUGAGAGAGAGAUUUCACCUUCAGUAUGACUAAAGACCCCCAGGCAAUGAGGUCAGGGGGACAUCAUCAGGGGAGAACAGGGGAGUCCAGGGGGAGGUCAAGGGGACAUCAGGG